GUCCCAAAAUCCCCCAAAAUGUCCCCAAAAUGUCCCCAAAAUGGCCCCAAAUGGCCCCAAAAUGUCCCCAAAUGGCCCCAAAUGGCCCCAAAUGGCCCCAAAUGUCCCAAAAUGUCCCCAAACGGCCCCAAAAUGUCCCAAAAUGUCCCCAAAUGUCCCCAAACGUCCCCAAAUGGCCCCAAAUGUCCCCAAAAUGGCCCAAAAUGUCCCCAAACUGUCCCCAAAUGGCCCCAAAUGGCCCCAAACGGCCCCAAAAUGUCCCAAAAUCCCCCAAAAUGUCCCAAAAUCCCCCAAAAUGUCCCCAAAAUGUCCCCAAAAUGGCCCCAAAUGGCCCCAAAUGUCCCAAAUGUCCCCAUAUUGGCCUCAAAAUGGCCCAAAUGGCCCCAAAUGGCCCCAAAAUGGCCCCAAAAUGGCCCAAAUGGCCCCAAAUGUCCCCAAAAUGUCCCCAAAAUGGCCCCAAUGGCCCCAAAUGUCCCCACUGUCCCCACUGUCCCCACUGCAGUGACCACGACCUGACCCCCUGGGGGCUCCUGGGGCCGCUCUCGCGGCUCCUGCGGCACCACCUGGACACCGGCGAGAUCCCGGAACAGGUGAGGGGACACCUGGGGGACACCUGGGGACAGCUGGGACACCUGAGAUACACCUGGGGACACCUGGGGACAGCUGAGACACACCUGGGGACAGCUGGGACACCUGGGGGGACAUGGGGACACACCUGGGGACACACCUGGGACACCUGGGGGGACAUGGGGACACCUGGGGACACACCUGGGGGGACAUGGGGACACACCUGGGGACACCUGGGGACAGCUGAGACACACCUGGGGACAGCUGGGGACAGCUGGGGGGACAUGGGGACACACCUGGGGACACACCUGGGACACACCUGGGGACACCUGGGGACACAUGGGGACACCUGGGGGGACAUGGGACACACCUGGGGACACCUGGGACACCUGGGGACAGCUGGGACACACCUGAGACACACCUGGGGACACCUGGGGGGACAUGGGGACACACCUGAGAUACAGCUGGGGACACCUGGGGACACCUGGGGACAUCUGGGGACACACCUGGGGACACCUGGGGACACCUGGGGACAUCUGGGGACACACCUGGGGACACCUGGGGACACCUGGGGACACUUCAGGGCCAUUUCCAGAACUUUCAGGCCCAUUUUGGGGCCGUUUUUGCCGUUCUUGGCUGCUUUGGGCUGGUUUGGGCCGUUCUUUGCCCGUUUUGGUCGUUUUUGGACACUUUUGGGGUGGUUUUGGGGUGGUUUUGGGGUGGUUUUGCUGCUUUUGGACACUUUUGGGGUGGUUUUGGACACUUUUGGGGUGGUUUUGCUGCUUUUGGACACUUCUGGGAUGGUUUUGGGGUCAUUCUUGUUGACUUCUGGCCAUUUUUGUUGGUUUUUGUCGGUUUUUGGGGCCGUUUUUAGCCAGAUUUUUGCCAUUUUUGCCCAUUGUUUGGUCGUUUUUUUGCCCAUUUUUUGCCCAUUUUUUACCCGUUUUUUGCUGGUUUUUACCCGUUUUUUUUCCCAUUUUUUGCCAGUUUUUUGCCCGUUUUUUGCCCAUAUUUUGCCAGUUUUUGCCCAUUUUUUGCCAUUUUUUGCCGUUUUUUGCCCCUUUUUUGCCCAUUUUUUGCCAUUUUUUGCCCAUUUCUUGCCGUUUUUUGCUGUUUUUUGCCCGUUUUUUGCCUUUUUUGCCCAUUCUUUGGCCUUUUUUUGCCAGUUUUUGCCCAUUUUUUGCCCAUUUUUUCCCCUUUUCUGGCCGUUUUUUGCCUGUUUUUUGCAGUUUUUUGCCCAUUUUUUGCCCAUUUUUUACCUUUUUUUGCCAGUUUUGGCCCAUUUUUUGCCCUUUUCUGGCCGUUUUUUGCUGUUUUUUGCCGUUUUUGCCGUUUUUUGCCGGUUUUUUCCGGUUUUGUGCCCGUUUUGGGCGCUGUCCCCCCCCGCAGGUGACGGUCCCGGCGCUCUCCUGCCUCUUCUUCCACCUGCUCUGGGAACUCUCCCGGAUUCCCGACUCCGGAGCCGCCCCGGAACGUCGGGAGUUCCUGUCCCGGGCGCGCCGGGCGCUCUCCCUGUG
ensembl:lncRNA